GACGAACGCUGGCGGCGUGCUUAACACAUGCAAGUCGAACGGAAAGGCCCUGCUUUUGUGGGGUGCUCGAGUGGCGAACGGGUGAGUAACACGUGAGUAACCUGCCCUUGACUUUGGGAUAACUUCAGGAAACUGGGGCUAAUACCGGAUAGGAGCUCCUGCUGCAUGGUGGGGGUUGGAAAGUUUCGGCGGUUGGGGAUGGACUCGCGGCUUAUCAGCUUGUUGGUGGGGUAGUGGCUUACCAAGGCUUUGACGGGUAGCCGGCCUGAGAGGGUGACCGGCCACAUUGGGACUGAGGGACGGCCCAGACUCCUACGGGAGGCAGCAGUGGGGAAUAUUGCACAAUGGGCGGAAGCCUGAUGCAGCAACGCCGGGUGCGGGAUGACGGCCUUCGGGUUGUAAACCGCUUUCGCCUGUGACGAAGCGUGAGUGACGGUAAUGGGUAAAGAAGCACCGGCUAACUACGUG
rnacentral:rRNA from 1 species